ensembl:lncRNA
GGAAACACUUGUGGGGACAAUUAGAAACGAGAGUCCCUGUUUAAAAAAGGAUUCAGCGAGGUAAUCCAAACUCAAGUUCUUGUUUCUUUUUGAGAUGACGUCAUUUUGCUGAGUGUGGAAACUAGAUGCGACGACGGGUUUCACUAUCAGCAAAGAACGGAUGAAUGGAUGAAAGACUGGGAAUAAAAACAAACGGACUGACUGGUAAAAGAUGACAAGACUUGACCAUGACUCAAGGUUAACCACCUCCACCUAGAUAGGAUAAAAGGGUGGAUGAAUUUAUGUGGGUUUCUUUUACAGGAGUAGAAGGAUGACAAAAUAUUCGAGGAUUAGUGAACCUGUAAAUGCCAUUUUUGUGUCUUGUGUUGCUUACAGAGAUAACUGCGCAGCGUUACCAUUUACAUUUUCUUCCCUACAGGGUUACAGUUUUAAUGUUUUUCUAUUACAGGAUUUCUGGGCGGAUGUGUGAAGAAACGGUGUUUAUGGGUUAGGAGUUGGGGAUGCUAUUACACUGUAUUUACAGGAAAUGUUUUAUAGCACCUAUGGAAUGAGGAUGCCUGACUACGGUCAAUGUGCUGCUAAUGUUUGCUUUGCUUUGGUGAGAGGGGUGCAGUAGAAAACAGACAAGUGACAUGAAAACAAGUAAUGAUAACAAAUAACAAAUUUGGGGACAGUUUGACCUAGAGCCCACUAACUGGCCAUUAGGGGCUCUCGCUCUCGCUCUCCCUCUCUCUCUCUCUCUCUCUCUCUCUCUCUCUCUCUCGCUCUCGCUCUCCCUCUCUCUCUCUCUCUCUCUCUCUCUCUCUCUCUCUCUCUCUCUCUCUCUCUCAUUGCCCAAAGGGUUGUUGCUCUUUAACUCCUAGAACACGCCCUUGGCGAGGUGGGGGGAACUGGACCACCUUUCUGUGCCCCAUCAUCCUCUAUUAGACGACAUCCAAGCUAAGUAAACAUGUCUUGGCCCUUUCCCCCUGAAAUGACAGGCAGGCAAAGAUGUUGCGUCUUUGUUUGCUUCCUGGCCCUGGGUCUCAUUCCCAUUGGCAUAAUCCUGAUCUGUGAAGGGCCCCCGACACUUAUGACACCUUCAAGUUCAAAAGCUUCGCCCCCUUCUGACAGUCCCAAUCUGACAAAUGUAGCCCCUAGGGUCUUGCCCACCACUUCCUCUCCAGUUUUGCCCACGCCCGAUCCAUUUAGAAAGAAACGAGACACGGUUACCUCCUCGCCAACGGAUGAUGAAAACUCUGAUCGUGAGGGUGACGAACAUUAUCGUCUUUCUCUUGUUUAAAUUCUUCUAGAAUGGUUGUUUCUCUGUGGUGUUUUGUAUUAGGCUUGUUAUUAAUUGUUUCCCUCACCCACUUCCUCUUGAAGGAUAUAUCUGGUUGAACUGUGUCUGGUCGGGUUGUGAGGGUUAAGCGAUGUUCUCAGGGUCUCCGGACUUAAGCCUGAGCGAAUGUGUACUCCCACCAAUGGAUAUGAAUUGUUUUUUUUUUUCCACACCCCUUCCUCACGUUUUACCAUAUUCACUUUUGAAUGUCCUUAGCAGUUACCGUUCUGGGUUUAUUUUACGGUUGAUUUAUUCUUUCACAUUUUCACGUUUAUAUCUCUCAUUAUUAUAGUAGACUCUGUACUCUCCACAUUUUUAUCAUUACUUAUGCUUUUUGGUUGCUGAGUUACAGGAACUGUUAAUUUUGUGUCACUACCCUGGUUGCACUAACUCGUUGUAUCCGUGUGUGCAGGACAGCUGUUACUGCUUUCAUCGGGAACCGAGACUGCUUGCAGCCGACCCCUGGGCAGGGUGGUGCCUGGACUCUUUUCUCCUCAUCUGCAAUGACAGAUAAAGACAAAUGAAAAGACCCGAGGAGUUUUUCG